rnacentral:tRNA from 2 species
UAAGGUUCUUGUAGUUGAAUA